rnacentral:rRNA from 1 species
AGCAGCCGCGGUAAUUCCAGCUCCAAUAGCGUAUGUUAAAGUUGUUGCAGUUAAAAAGCUCGUAGUUGAAUUUCGGGGUCAGCAAGUUGGUCGUGCCACCGGUAUGUACUGGCUUUGCUGAUUCCUCCUUCUUGUAGAACCGUAAUGCCAUUAAGUUGGUGUUGCGGGAAAACAGGACUGUUACUUUGAAAAAAUUAGAGUGUUUAAAGCAGGCUAACGCUUGAAUACAUUAGCAUGGAAUAAUGAAAUAGGACGACGAUCCUAUUUUGUUGGUUUCUAGGAUUGACGUAAUGAUUAAUAGGGAUAGUUGGGGGCAUUAGUAUUCAAUUGUCAGAGGUGAAAUUCUUGGAUUUAUUGAAGACUGACUACUGCGAAAGCAUUUGCCAAGGAUGUUUUCAUUAAUCAAGAACGAAAGUUAGGGGAUCGGAGACGAUCAGAUACCGUCGUAGUCUUAACCAUAAACUAUGCCGACUAGGGAUCGGAUGAUGUUAAUUUUAUAAUGACUCAUUCGGCGCCUUAAC